UCUACGGGUGGCAGCAGUGGGGAAUAUUGCGCAAUGGGCGCAAGCCUGACGCAGCGACGCCGCGUGCGGGAUGACGGUCUUCGGAUCGUAAACCUCUGUCAGCAGGGAAGUACGGUCACUGUGCUAAUCAGCAGUGAAUUUACGGUACCUGCAAAGGAAGCACCUGCUAACGCCGUUCCAGCAGCCGGGGGAAUACGGGGGGUGCGGGCGUUAAUCGGUAUUACUGGGCGUACAGAGCUCGUAGGCGGUAUGUCAAGUCAAGGGUGAAAUCCCCGCGCUCAACGCGGGAACUGCCGUUGAAACUGGCAAACUGGAGUGUGUGAGAGGAUAGUGGAAUUCAAGGUGUAGGAGUGAAAUCCGUAGAUA
rnacentral:rRNA from 1 species